rnacentral:rRNA from 1 species
UACGUAGGGUGCGAGCGUUGUCCGGAAUUAUUGGGCGUAAAGAGCUCGUAGGCGGUCUGUCGCGUCGAAUGUGAAAACCCGGGGCUCAACUCCGGGCUUGCAUUCGAUACGGGCAGGCUAGAGUUCGGUAGGGGAGUCUGGAAUUCCUGGUGUAGCGGUGAAAUGCGCAGAUAUCAGGAGGAACACCGGUGGCGAAGGCGGGACUCUGGGCAGUAACUGACGCUGAGGAGCGAAAGCGUGGGGAGCGAACAGG